rnacentral:lncRNA from 1 species
UAGCCGCCUCUCCUCCUACUUCACUCUCUCAUCUGAUCACACACACACGUUCAAAAGCACUCACUAGCAUAUGAAUUCAAUUCUGAAAUUCAAAAGCCAUUUAUGAGAUUUGGAACAAAAGGCUCGAAAAUCAGAGGGAGAUUAGAAUCAAAAGCAAUUUCUGAAAUUAAUCUUCUAUUGCUAUAUUUAUUCUACACUUUCGGGAUUUUAAAGAGAUCCGAUUCAAAUUGCCGUUCGAUUUCCGCUGAUUUUGCUGUUUCUAGAGUCGUUGAGCUCCAUUCGAAUUUGUUCUUGCCUUUAUUUGGUUUAUUCUAGCUUUUUUUUUGUGCGACCAGGUUAGUUUGAAACUUCUCUGUCUUAUACUUUUAGAAAAUGAUUAAACAAUUAAGUUCCGGUUCAGUUAUUUUUGUGGCUAUGCUCGAGUCUUGAUCUCUGUUAUUCUCCUUUAUAAAAUUAAAACGUGAUGCCUAUUUGAAUUAAUUAAAUCCCUACUUUCCUUAUAAGAAUGAUGCGUUGGUUAUCUAAUCAUGUUAAGUUUAAUUACAUUUUUUACUUGAGAAUUAUUUAAUUUCAGCAGAUCUGCCUAGCUUUUUCUCUUAUGUGAUUCUAUUAUUUAGUGAAGUUUCCACC